UACGUAGGGGGCGAGCGUUGUCCGGAAUUACUGGGCGUAAAGGGCGCGUAGGCGGCUUGGUAAGUCGGGGGUGAAAGUCAGCGGCUCAACCGCUGGACUGCCUUCGAGACUGCCUGGCUUGAGCAUGGUAGAGGCUGGCGGAAUUCCCGGUGUAGCGGUGGAAUGCGUAGAGAUCGGGAAGAACAUCGGUGGCGAAGGCGGCCAGCUGGGCCAUUGCUGACGCUGAGGCGCGACAGCGUGGGGAGCAAACAGG
rnacentral:rRNA from 1 species